CCUACGGGUGGCAGCAGUGGGGAAUAUUGCACAAUGGGGGAAACCCUGAUGCAGCGACGCCGCGUGAGCGAAGAAGUCUUUCGGGAUGUAAAGCUCUAUCAGCAGGGAAGAAAAUGACGGUACCUGAGUAAGAAUCUCCGGCUAACUACGUGCCAGCAGCCGCGGUAAUACGUAUGGAGCAAGCGUUAUCCGGAUUUACUGGGCGUAAAGGGAGCGUAGGCGGCCUGCCAAGUCUGAUGUGAAAUACCGGGGCGCAACCCCGGGGCUGCAUUGGAAACUGGCAGGCUGGAGUGCAGGAGAGGCAGGCGGAAUUCCUAGUGUAGCGGUGAAAUGAGUAGAUAUUAGGAGGAACACCAGUGGCGAAGGCGGCCUGCUGGACGGGGACUGACGCUGAGGCUCGAAAGCGUGGGGAGCAAACAGGAUUAGAUACCCCAGUAGUC
rnacentral:rRNA from 1 species